rnacentral:rRNA from 1 species
UACGUAGGGUGCAAGCGUUAAUCGGAAUUACUGGGCGUAAAGCGUGCGCAGGCGGUGAUGUAAGACAGUUGUGAAAUCCCCGGGCUCAACCUGGGAACUGCAUCUGUGACUGCAUCGCUGGAGUGCGGCAGAGGGGGAUGGAAUUCCGCGUGUAGCAGUGAAAUGCGUAGAUAUGCGGAGGAACACCGAUGGCGAAGGCAGCCCCCUGGGUCAAGAUUGACGCUCAUGCACGAAAAGCUGGGGGAGCAAACAGG